GACAGAGGGGGCAAGCGUUGCUCGGAAUCACUGGGCGUAAAGGGCGCGUGGGCGGGAUGGCAAGUCAGUCGUGAAAUCUCUCGGCUCAACCGAGAAACGUCGGCUGAUACUGCCGUUCUUGAGGGAUGCAGAGGAGACUGGAAUUCCCGGUGUAGCGGUGAAAUGUGUAGAGAUCGGGAGGAACACCGGUGGCGAAGGCGGGUCUCUGGGCAUUUCCUGACGCUGAGGCGCGAAAGCGUGGGGAGCAAACGGG
rnacentral:rRNA from 1 species